rnacentral:lncRNA from 1 species
UAUAGGGUUCUAGGGUCUUCAUAAGGAAACCUCUAUAUUUCUCUGGAACCUUCCUACAAGUGCGUAAAUAUCUAGAACAUGUUCUAGGAAAUUCUCCAUAGUUCUAGAAUAUUCCACCAGAUCUAGUCCCUAACUUAUGUAACCAUUCCAUAUGAAAAAAGAUAUGCCAAGUGGAACCUACGUAGCAUGAUGAUGUGGCGGGUCAUGACACUCUAUCCCACCCAAUUUUGUGCCGCCCCCGGCACAAAGCAUCGAUACAUAUGCGUGCACCUCGCCUUGGCAUCUCCGGAGAUCUUUGUCCAUUAUCCAUGAUGCUCUAUGGAGCGGUUUGCCUUCCCAUUUCACAAGGUAUCAAUCACCUUUCUUCUUACACCGUUUGUACUUUGGACGACUUUCAAUGAUGGCCUCGAUCCUCCGCCCAUCAUAUGCCCUUCCUUGCUCUUUGCUUGAAUCUUCCCAUGACUCAACCAAGUCUAGCAGCUUCUCAAGCAUCGGGUAUAUGCUUGCACUCCCUCUUUAGUUGUCGUCCGUGGUCACAGCCUUGCUAGCAAACUUGACCCAUCUGCCCGGUCCAUCUUCUGAGUCUGAUAGCGUGCCAUCACUUUUGUAACGCGCAAUCCUCUUCUACUAUCAGCCCAACUUUUCUUACUGGUAUCAUGCUCCAUUUGCAUGGCACAAAGAUAAGCUUUGUAAUCCCCUACUUUUUCUUAAAUUCCAUGCGCAUCCCUCCAAUGCAUGCGGUUUCUAUUAUGUCAUCCUUAUGUGUUUGAGCAAAAUUCCCUAUCAUUGCUGCAUGCUUCCCCAACUCUGGGCAUUCACUUGCCCAGUAUGACCCUUUGCAGAAGUAGCACCCUCCCUUAGGCACGUACUCCUUCCCAUUUUCUGGCCCCUUGCCGUUUCUCUUGGACCCUUGUCCGUUACGGGAUCACCCUUUGCGAUUACCCUUGUAUACCUCGGCUAUGCAUUUCCCUUUGUCCUCAUCAUGAUCUCUCCCAUCCCUCUCAGCAUUGCCUUCUUUGGACUUGGCACUCCAUCUUGAAGUCAACAAGUGACUAGGCUACUCCGAUGGCCUAGUUCACGUUGGCUACUUGAUGUCUACUUAAUUUUUGCUUUGCCCAACUUUGCAACACAUCCAUGAAGUAGAAGAGGGAAUAUUCCUCGGACACUGAUAAGAUUUGCAGCAUUAAGGUAGUGAACUCGCGUACAUACUCCCGAAUUGUGGCCUCUAUCGGAGCUCCUUUAGCUUCCGCGAGUCUGUCAGCUCGCGUGCAGCCCGUGCACCAUCAUACUGCUUUCGUUUAGGGACCUUCGCGUUGAUCCCUUCUGCAAGUACCAUGCCCUUGGUAAAUCCGGCCAUGGGUCCCUACAAAACUUCCUUCUAGCAAUCUCUUGUGUUCUUUCUAACAUUCCUUAGACAUAACCUUUGCUUUGAUACCUCGUUGCCACGUCCUUAGUUAUUAACUAAGUACACGUGCGGGCACUUGGCAACUUGCUCACGAUCUUGCACAACUUGCUCUCGUUUUUGCUAUGCCAAGUCAGCCUUAUUACACUCAAGAUCGCUAAGAAAUGUUAUAACGUAUGAGAAUUGCUAAAGGAAGCUUUUGUAGUAGAGAAAACUUGAUUGUUU